rnacentral:rRNA from 1 species
GAGUUUGAUCCUGGCUCAGGACGAACGCUGGCGGCGUGCUUAACACAUGCAAGUCGAACGGUAAGGCCCCUUCGGGGGUACACGAGUGGCGAACGGGUGAGUAACACGUGAGCAACCUGCCCUUGACACUGGGAUAAGCGAUUGAAAAGUCGUCUAAUACCGGAUAUGACUCUCACAGGCAUCUGUGAGGGUGGAAAUGCUCCGGCGGUCAAGGAUGGGCUCGCGGCCUAUCAGCUUGUUGGUGAGGUAACGGCUCACCAAGGCUUCGACGGGUAGCCGGCCUGAGAGGGCGACCGGCCACACUGGGACUGAGAUACGGCCCAGACUCCUACGGGAGGCAGCAGUGGGGAAUAUUGCGCAAUGGGCGAAAGCCUGACGCAGCAACGCCGCGUGCGGGAUGACGGCCUUCGGGUUGUAAACCGCUUUCAGCAGGGACGAAGGGUUUCUGACGGUACCUGCAGAAGGAGCACCGGCCAACUACGUGCCAGCAGCCGCGGUGAUACGUAGGGUGCGAGCGUUGUCCGGAAUUAUUGGGCGUAAAGAGCUUGUAGGCGGUUUGUCACGUCGGAAGUGAAAACUCAGGGCUUAACCCUGAGCCUGCUUCCGAUACGGGCAGACUAGAGGAAGGUAGGGGAGAAUGGAACUCCUGGUGGAGCGGUGGAAUGCGCAGAUAUCA